rnacentral:rRNA from 1 species
UAACACGUAAACAACCUACCUUCAGGAUGGGGACGAACAGACGGAAACGAACUGCUAAUACCGAAUACGCUUGGGAGACCGCAUGAUCUACCAAGAAAAAGGUAGGCCUCUACCUGUAAGCUAUCGCCUGAAGAGGGGUUUGCGUCUGAUUAGCUGGUUGGAGGGGUAACGGCCCACCAAGGCGACGAUCAGUAGCCGGUCUGAGAGGAUGAACGGCCACAUUGGGACUGAGACACGGCCCAGACUCCUACGGGAGGCAGCAGUGGGGAAUCUUCCGCAAUGGACGAAAGUCUGACGGAGCAACGCCGCGUGAACGAUGACGGCCUUCGGGUUGUAAAGUUCUGUUAUACGGGACGAAUGGUACGACGGUCAAUACCCGUCGUAAGUGACGGUACCGUAAGAGAAAGCCACGGCUAACUACGUG